GAUAAACGCUGGCGGCGUGCCUAAUACAUGCAAGUCGAGCGAACGGACGAGAAGCUUGCUUCUCUGAUGUUAGCGGCGGACGGGUGAGUAACACGUGGAUAACCUACCUAUAAGACUGGGAUAACUUCGGGAAACCGGAGCUAAUACCGGAUAAUAUUUUGAACCGCAUGGUUCAAAAGUGAAAGACGGUCUUGCUGUCACUUAUAGAUGGAUCCGCGCUGCAUUAGCUAGUUGGUAAGGUAACGGCUUACCAAGGCAACGAUGCAUAGCCGACCUGAGAGGGUGAUCGGCCACACUGGAACUGAGACACGGUCCAGACUCCUACGGGAGGCAGCAGUAGGGAAUCUUCCGCAAUGGGCGAAAGCCUGACGGAGCAACGCCGCGUGAGUGAUGAAGGUCUUCGGAUCGUAAAACUCUGUUAUUAGGGAAGAACAUAUGUGUAAGUAACUGUGCACAUCUUGACGGUACCUAAUCAGAAAGCCACGGCUAACUACGUGCCAGCAGCCGCGGUAAUACGUAGGUGGCAAGCGUUAUCCGGAAUUAUUGGGCGUAAAGCGCGCGUAGGCGGUUUUUUAAGUCUGAUGUGAAAGCCCACGGCUCAACCGUGGAGGGUCAUUGGAAACUGGAAAACUUGAGUGCAGAAGAGGAAAGUGGAAUUCCAUGUGUAGCGGUGAAAUGCGCAGAGAUAUGGAGGAACACCAGUGGCGAAGGCGACUUUCUGGUCUGUAACUGACGCUGAUGUGCGAAAGCGUGGGGAUCAAACAGGAUUAGAUACCCUGGUAGUCCACGCCGUAAACGAUGAGUGCUAAGUGUUAGGGGGUUUCCGCCCCUUAGUGCUGCAGCUAACGCAUUAAGCACUCCGCCUGGGGAGUACGACCGCAAGGUUGAAACUCAAAGGAAUUGACGGGGACCCGCACAAGCGGUGGAGCAUGUGGUUUAAUUCGAAGCAACGCGAAGAACCUUACCAAAUCUUGACAUCCUUUGACAACUCUAGAGAUAGAGCCUUCCCCUUCGGGGGACAAAGUGACAGGUGGUGCAUGGUUGUCGUCAGCUCGUGUCGUGAGAUGUUGGGUUAAGUCCCGCAACGAGCGCAACCCUUAAGCUUAGUUGCCAUCAUUAAGUUGGGCACUCUAAGCUGACUGCCGGUGACAAACCGGAGGAAGGUGGGGAUGACGUCAAAUCAUCAUGCCCCUUAUGAUUUGGGCUACACACGUGCUACAAUGGACAAUACAAAGGGCAGCGAAACCGCGAGGUCAAGCAAAUCCCAUAAAGUUGUUCUCAGUUCGGAUUGUAGUCUGCAACUCGACUACAUGAAGCUGGAAUCGCUAGUAAUCGUAGAUCAGCAUGCUGCGGUGAAUACGUUCCCGGGUCU
rnacentral:rRNA from 1 species